rnacentral:rRNA from 1 species
AAUCUUCCACAAUGGGCGAAAGCCUGAUGGAGCAACGCCGCGUGAGUGAAGAAGGUUUUCGGAUCGUAAAACUCUGUUGUAAGUGAAGAACAAGUACAGUAGUAACUGGCUGUACCUUGACGGUACCUUAUUAGCAAGCCACGGCUAACUACGUGCCAUCAUCCGCGGUAAUACGUAGGUUGCAAGCGUUGUCCGGAAUUAUUGGGCGUAAAGCGGAGGGAAGCGGUCCUUGAAGUCUGAUGGGAAAGCCCACGGCUCAACCGUGGAGGCUCAUUGGAAAAUGGGGGACUUGAGUGCAGAAGAGGAAAGUGGAACUCCAAGUGUAGCGGUGAAAUGCGUAGAGAUUUGGAGGAACACCAGUGGCGAAGGCGACUUUCUGGUCUGUAACUGACGCUGAGACGCGAAAGCGUGGGGAACAAACA